rnacentral:snRNA from 1 species
CAGUCAGCUCAGAACUGGUAC